rnacentral:rRNA from 1 species
AGUAAUGUCUGGGAAACUGCCUGAUGGAGGGGGAUAACUGCUGGAAACGGUAGCUAAUACCGCAUAACGUCGCAAGACCAAAGAGGGGGACCUUCGAGCCUCUUGCCAUCGGAUGUGCCCAGAUGGGAUUAGCUAGUAGGUGGGGUAACGGCUCACCUAGGCGACGAUCCCUAGCUGGUCUGAGAGGAUGACCAGCCACACUGGAACUGAGACACGGUCCAG